rnacentral:lncRNA from 1 species
UCCAUAUAAGUGAUACUGUGGUGACAAAAGCAGUAGCCACCACAGCCUUCUGCCACACCUUGCUUUUAGCCAAGCAGCAUAUCCAUUGUAAUUCAACAUUCCAGCUGCAUAUUGUUCUACUGUAUCUCAACCAAUAGCAGAUUCUUUGCCAGAGCCUCCUAGUAACUAGACAAGUGAAAUACAGAUGAUCAAAUUCUUCAGUUUCUAGAUGACAGAAC